GUCCGGUUGAGUCGAUCAGAGUGGCAGAUUACCCUAUCCCCUUAAUAAUAGAGUCCCCUACCACCACAACCUGUCUAGACUUCCUUAUCCUCUCAACCCCACCCGUACUAGAGGGGCUGUUUCCACGGCGGUUCACUUGUUUGAUACGCAUUAGGGCAGUAGCAGCGUUGGUCUCCGUACCCAAAGGUUCAAACGUUAGUUUAAAUUCCAUAAGGAAUUCCAAGUAAUUAUGGGCAAUAGACUUAUUACUCUCCCAUAAUGGAUUGGCCCAUGCUAAG